ensembl:lncRNA
AUGGACAGUGGUUACGCACCUUUAAAAAACUGUCUUGGCUCAGCCCUUCCGAUUAAUACAGAGUCAAAAGAAUGUUUUAUCUGUCGGGAAGGAGAUGAGAUGGGCCGUGACGCUCUGCUGCACUUCUGUGACUGCAAAAACUUGAUUGCUCACCAGAAAUGUCUUUUAACUUGGAUACAAAAGGGUCCUCAUUAUGAAGGUACUCCAACAUGCAAAGUAUGUACAGCUGAGUACCAACUUGUGGAAACAUCACCUUGGAGAAAUCUGGUCUUGCGAUGGGACAAGUGGGCCAUCUUCUGCACAGUUGCAGCGCUCAUGAUCAGCAUUCCGUUUCUGGUCUAUCAACUCCUAAUCACUUUUAAGGAUCCUCCUCCUGCUCUUGUUUUCCACAUUGCAGCCAUUACCUUUGGAGUGCUCACAGAAAUACUCCUGACCAAGUGAGUGAAAGCAGUCUCUGAAUUUCCUUGUGCCACUUCCUUCAAGGUUGAAACAAUGUGCCUUACAGUUAAUCUCUCAUUAGGAGAGGGAACUCCUCAAGUAGCGAGAGUGUGUGACUGUCGCAGCAGGAGCUUUUUACCCCUCAUAAUUUUUUUUAUUAGUUGGCCUUGUUUUUUUCUCUGGUCUUCUAGCUAUGGCUACCUGCUUCCAUUGCAAACUCUGAUUUCUCGGACAGGAAAACGUUCCUCUCAGUUCUAAUUGUGAGUUAUCAGUAACAGACAGUUUGGCCCUCAUGCAAACAAGGCUUGCUCCAAGCAAGUGUCAGUGAGUAAACCUUCUCCCUGUUCUCUUCCACCUCACUCUCAGUUUCUCAAAGAUGGGACUUAACCACUAGCAGGGGUUGUAGCACGCCUUUAUACUUUUGUCAGAAUUGUCAGCAUGGGAAAUUUUUUAAUCUCACCUUUUGUUAAUGGCAACAUGUGCCUCCAGAAUCUGACAAGUUGUAGUUGAUUUUGAAAAUGGUUUGUCUGAAUCUUCAAACAACGGUUUAUGAAACUGACUUGUUUCAGCAAACUAUAGAUAAAAUGAACCAGAUUUGUUCAGAUAACAAGCAACAAUGUUUUUAAUCAGGACAGAAGCAAAAUCUCCCAGUCUUUUUCUCAUGGCCACACUAUAGAAUGUGAGGUGGGGAGGAACAUGCGCACAGGUGGAGGAUAGGCUUGUUUCUGUCACAAUGAACCAUGGUUCACCAUUAUGAAUACAUUCAUUAUUUUUCUCUGUGGUAUAAACAUAGCUAACUUCUUCCUUUCCUGGUUUACUUCAUCCUAAUAUAUGCAUAAUAAGUAGUCCACUCUCUUGUUUGGAACGUACUGUAAAAUAUCACUACAUAUUUUUCACUUUUUUUCCACAACUUGUUGUUCUGUCGCAUCCUCGGUUUAAAACUAAACCUUAGGGCUGAAGUUCAUCCAUAAUGAAAUGCCAUCUUAGUUUCACUUUAUCUCAAAUCAACAGGCCCCACACCGACAUGAUUAUCUUGAAGCUGUGAUGGUCACCAUUAAAAUGUUGACAUUUACUGUUUGAAACUAAUUUGCGUUACUGUGAAAUUGCAGGUAUGCCCUGUAAAUAAGUGUCGCUAACAUGAAUUAUCUUCAGACACUUAAUGUCAGCAUUUUAAUGAUGGCCACUCUCUGUUGUAGGUGCCUGUAAUUUGGAGGCGCAGGAGCAGGGUCAGGCUUUAAUGAAGUGUCGGAACAACUGAAGAAGGGUGGGAAAAUGGAGCGCAAAAUGAGAAGGCAGAAAGAAUAAGAAAUGAAAUCCCAGUGACCUAGUCUUCAGACACAAAUCUGAAUCUAAACAUGUACAGUAUUUGAAAUAUUAUGUAUUCAUUCUGGGAGGCACAAAAGCAAGAAAAUGCUAAUAGUAUUUAAUUCCCCUUGACUUCUAACCUUUUUAAUCUGUUCUGUUGCUUGUUCAAUACUAUAAAUUGAGGCUGUUUUAUACCAAAGGGCGAACAUACGCACUGAGUCAUUUUGGAUUGCCUGACAUUUCUUUUUAAAAAGGGAAUAUAUAUUGGAGUUGAUCUUUUCUCCCUCCCCAGUUUUUAAGCAACUGGCUUGCAUCUGCAUUGGCUAAGGAAAAACAGGAACAAAGAGGAAAGGAUCAUUAAAGGGAGCAGAAAAUCACUGUAGAAACCAUAGCAAAGCACUUAGCCAAAAGUAUCACCGGCGUAUUUCCCCUCCCCCCCAUGCUCGCCCGCCCUUAUUUGUGUAGUUUUUAUUUUGUUUUGUUCUUUAAUUUCCUCUUCUCAAUAAAAUACCAGUUGGAAAAUUGCCCA